rnacentral:lncRNA from 1 species
CUAUAUAAACAUACAUUUUAUAUACAUUUAGUACAAGAAUUAGUUCCUGCAAUUAUGAGGCUCCAAACCCCCGCAGUCUGUCAUCUGCAAGCUGGAGAAGCAGGAAAGUGGGUGGUAGAAUUCAGUCUGGGUCUAAAGUUCUGCGGAGCUUAGAAGCGUGAUGCCCAAAAGCAGAAGGCGGAGGUCCCAGCUCAGAGAGCACGUGGCUCAUCUUUAUGUUCUGUUUGCGUCCUCGGGGAACGGGUGAUGCCCAUCUACUUCUUCACUCAGUCCAUCGAUUCCAGUGCUCCUCUCUUCUGGAACCUUCCACACAGACACACCCAGAAGUGAUGUGUGACCAGCUGUCUGGACAUCCCUUAGCCCAGGCAAGUGGACACAUGAAAUUAACCAUCAUGAGGAUGAAAGGGAGACUUCCGGGCAGCUGAGCACCAGGAAUGAUGGCUGCUCCACCCUGAGAGGGAGGCCGGGGGGACAUGCCUUCUUCAAUCCCGUCUGCGUGAUGACCAGCCCGCAGGAGGCAGAUGCGGAACGAGGGGGCAACAGAACAAACCCAAAGGCCCAGCCUAGCCCAGAGAAGAGGGUGAUUUAUCCUGCUGGUGCUGGGGAGUCUCACAGGGGCCAGGGCGGAGGCUGAACUGGGCGGGAGUGCCCUGUGGGGACAUGGCACCUUUGGGAGGAGGGGCUUUGCACCCUGAAACCAGACGAGAGGCUCUGAGAGGCAGGCUCUGGGACUCUCCGAAGACUGGGGUCUCCGCAGGCAGUGGAAACCAGGAAGGGCUUCCUGGAGGAGGUGUCAUAGCGUCUGACCUCGAAGCAGGUCAGGGCAGCAGGAGGAAGAGCUCUGCCGGUCAUGAGGGGAGACAAGAGGACUUAAAUCAAGGAAACAAGGAGUUCCUGCUGUGACACAGUGGGUUAAGAAUCCGACUACAGCAGCUCCAGUCACUGCAGAGGCGUGGGUUCAAUUCCCAUCCCGGAGCAGUGGGUUAAAGGAUCUGGAGUGGCUGUGGAUUCAGGCCCCUGGCCGAGGAACUUCCAUAAGCCACUCUGGGGCCAUAAUAAAUAAGUAAAUGAAUGAAU